rnacentral:tRNA from 1 species
UGGAUCACCUCCUAACAGGGAGACAACACAAUGAUUUUGAUGCCUGAGUGUUUUUAUUCUUAGGCCGAAAUCCUGUCACCUUAGGUCGAUCGGUACCUCAGCUUUGAAGUUAAGGAUCAGCAGUAAUGUUGAUUGCUUGAUGGAGAUUUUCAGUUCCUAAACUUUGUCUAGGUCACACCCCAAAAGGGAUGAGGCUCCUGGGCCAUUAGCUCAGGUGGUUAGAGCGCACCCCUGAUAAGGGUGAGGUCCCUGGUUCAAGUCCAGGAUGGCCCAUUCGGUGUUGGGGGUUUAGCUCAGUUGGUAGAGCGCCUGCUUUGCAAGCAGGAUGUCAGGAGUUCGAGUCUCCUAACCUCCACUGACCGAACUUUAUCCCCAUCUCCAAGUUAUGGAGUUGAGCUCGAUUGGAGUGUGAUUUAGACGUGUCCGCUGGAUGACCCUAGCUUCCUGCCAUUCCAAGUUUUAAGUUGAAAGCUUUGAAUUUGGUUGAUAAGAUGCUGGGCUCGAAUCAAGUGAUCAAGCAAUUGAUGAUUUGAUUUGAAGUUCUAGCAGAACCUUGACAACUGCAUAGGUGAAGUCUGGAAAAACAAAGCAUCUUACAGAUGCAUUGUUUUGAGUCUGAUCUUCUGAAAAGGAGAUUAGAACCAGAACAAUGAAAAUUCUUUUGAGCAAGAGCCGAGACUCUUGAAUGUUCUUUGAUUCGUGUCGAGCGAAUCAGAGUUUGAUCUUGUUUUUAGCGAUAAAAACUUGAGAAUCUGCUUUCAACGGCGGUAAGCGUUCAGGAGGUUAAUUGGUCAAGCUACAAAGGGCUCACGGCGGAUACCUUGGCACACAGAGGCGAUGAAGG